rnacentral:rRNA from 1 species
UACAGAGGGGGCAAGCGUUAUUCGGAAUUAUUGGGCGUAAAGGGCGCGUAGGCGGCUUGGCAAGUGGAUGGUGAAAUCCCUCGGCUUAACCGAGGAACUGCCAUCCAGACUGCUUUGCUUGAGGCCGGGAGAGGUAAGUGGAAUUCCCAGUGUAGCGGUGAAAUGCGUAGAUAUUGGGAGGAACACCAGUGGCGAAGGCGACUACCUGGCCUGUUCUUGACGCUGAGGCGCGAAAGCUAGGGGAGCAAACGGG